rnacentral:rRNA from 1 species
UAUCCAUCUCGUAUGGAUUAAAGCUUUACGCGCUUUGGGAGGGGCCUGCGUAACAUUACGCUUGUUGGUGAGGUAAAAGCUCACCAAGGCUUCGAUGUUUAACUGGUUUGAGAGGAUGACCAGUCACACUGGGACUGAGAUACGGCCCAGACUCCUACGGGAGGCAGCAGUAAGGAAUCUUCCACAAGUGGGGGCCAACCCUGAUGGAGCAAUACCGCGUGCAGGAUGAAGCGUUUCGGCGUGUAAACUGCUUUUAUCACCGAAGAUUAUGACUGUAGGUGAAGAAUAAGGACCGGCUAACUACGUG